UCUUCCCCCAAACUUCUCUCUCCGCCCUCAGACUUCACCUCAUGUCUUAGCUUACUUCUUGUCACUACUCAACUCACAGCAUUUACUGAUAAAAUUUAUUUUUUUUGGUUUCCCUAAUUCAUUCCUACCUCGGUUCAUUCUCUCUUUCUGGAAAGCUUCGUGACGGAUGAGCAAUGUAUGUCGGUACCUGUAUCGAACUCCGCAUUCUUUCAGUUCCUCUGUGAAAAUUCUAAGUUCCAAGUGAAGUAGAUCACUUCCUAGCUCGCUCGCUUUUGACUUAGAAGUUGGGGAUUUGAAUCUCAACUUCCAGCUAGCGUUUCUCCCUUCAAUUCUUAUAUAAUUUGAAUUACGAUUUAAGAAGCUAAGUGGUUAAAGGGAUGACUGCUGAUCCUGGAUUUGCUUACUGUAUAAUUU